rnacentral:rRNA from 1 species
GACGAACGCUGGCGGCGUGCUUAACACAUGCGAGUCGAACGGGCCCGCCCCUGUUUUUGGGGGUGGGUUGAGUGGCGAACGGGUGAGUAUCACGUGAGUAACCUGCCCCCUGCUCCUGGAUAACUGCUUGAAAGGGCGGCUAAUACGGGGUGUGCCGGCUGGUCCGCAUGGGCCUGGUCGGGAUAGUUUCAUCUUCGGGUGUUUCGGUGGGGGAUGGGCUCGCGGCCUAUCAGCUUGUUGGUGGGGUGAUGGCCCACCAAGGCGGUGACGGGUAGCCGGCCUGAGAGGGUGGGCGGCCACACUGGGACUGAGACACGGCCCAGACUCCUGCGGGAGGCAGCAGUGGGGGGUAUUGCACAAUGGGCGGAAGCCUGAUGCAGCGACGUCGCGUGAGGGAUGGAGGCCUUCGGGUUGUGAACCUCUUUCUCCGGUGGUGAAGGCCCUGUCCGUUGCGGCGGGGUUGACGGUAGCCGGGUAUGAAGCGCCGGCUAACUACGUG